rnacentral:lncRNA from 1 species
AGAGGGUGAUCCUGCUGCUCAGCUCACAGGGGCCUGUGUGUGUGGCAGCUCCAUCUGGACCCUGUUGGCCCUUCUCAUGGGAGGCCUGAGGACACAGCCAGCAUGGGAGGACUCUCGGGCCCUCUCAGGGGAGAAGACCACAAAACUCCACCGUCACUCCAGGCUGGCUUGCCCUGGAAUUCGUUUCUGCGGUGUAGUCAAGAAUCCCAUCCCAGCUUCACCUGAGUGGAGGUCUCAGAAGAAUUCACAGGCUGCUGCAGGUGGCUGCAUGGAGCUGUUUGUCUGGCCUGGACUGCACAGCCUGUGACAAAGCCAGUGUGCUGUGUGAGAGCUGAGUGCUGUGGAAAGGGAUGGAGGAAAGGUUGGAGAAGGGGGAAAGCACCUCCCCCCAACUCUGAAGGGUGUUGGGAUAGGGGUGCUGUGAGCUGGGGGUUCAGAGUAGAAGCUCUGAGUGCUAUGGGGGGGGGCAGUUAUGACAAACCAUCAGGGGCACAGGGAGGCGGGAUCCACUCUCAGAGUUUUCCUCCAUGUCCUGCUUUUCUUGAGGCCUCCAGAGCCUCAGGAGGUGCUGGUGCAGUUCCAAGUGGGUCAGAACUCACAGUCAGCCACGCCUCUUUCCCUUCCACUAAAUUCUCCACUGCCUUCCAUGGUCAAGCCACUGGAGAAAUGGACUAACUAGGGUUAAGGUUUCAAGUUUCUCAGGCCAGGUUGUGGCAGUAUAUGGGGACAUGCACUCAGACUAACAGUAGGAGCAAUUCAUAAUGCAUGGGAAUAGUCAAGAAUGGUGCAGUCUGACCAAGUCACAAGAAGCUCAGCACUGGACAGAUCCAUCAAGUAGCCCAGGAGGACAGUGGGAAGGACCAGUAUCCCAUAUAUACCAAUCAUGUGGUUUGGGCUGCCCCAAAGGAAUGCCACAUUGAGCAAGUUCUUUCUACCAUGGGUGGUGACCAGAUCCUCAGCCACAGUGGGUCUUUGUUGGCUAAUGCAGGAAUCUGUGAUUUCUGACCACUGUUAUAAGAGCGCCCAACUUUAUUAAGAAACCCCCAGUUCUGGGCCAAAUGAAUGGUAGGUAGGCUUUCAAACACACACACACACACACCACACACACCACACACACAUUCAUGACCCCCCUCCCAUAUAUAUAUAGUCAUGAAGCCAGGCUGGCUUUGAAUUCCUGAUAAUAUCUUUAUGUCCCAAGUGCUGGGAUUGCAUGUAUAGAUCACCAUGACUCCAAAACAAACAGCAAACUAGACUUUGCCAUGCAAAGGGCUUCCCUCAACAUAAGGUGACAGGGAAGUCACUGACAUCUUACUGAAGGGGAAAGCAGGAGACAGAUAACGGCAGUGGUGUGGAGAGAAAGGGGAGAGACUGCAGGGCUAAAAGACUACUGCUUACAAUGAAGCAGAAGAGCUGGAGAGGUAGCACGGCAGGGCUGUGUAUCAAGUAGACCAAAGUGAUAGACUUGCUCCUACAAGUUGUUUCCUCGGAUUCUGAGGCAUAGUCUUAGUUACCCCUGCUGGGCUCUCCUGAGGCCAAGCUUUUCCUCAGAAGCAGAAUGUCAGGCAGGCUGGUCUUCUGAGGCUCCCACUUCCUCCCAUGUCCCAGUGACUGCGAUGGCUGCAUCCUGGAAACAUCUCUUCAGUCAAUCUUUUGUGACUAGCUGUCAGCCAUCACUUUCCUAAACCACCAGAUGCCACCAGCAGUGACAUCAUCAGGAGCCACAGGCUCUGCACCUAAGCUCCAGCACAGCUGAGACUGGAGGAAAUACAGAAGGCCUCCAUCUUUGCCCGGCUCUUCACUACUGGAAACAUGCCCCUGUGUGGACUCGAAAGGUGCAUGUUCCUAGCCCCUCUGUGGCCCAGCUAUGACAGGACUAUAUGUUCCUAAGAUCAUUUCAGGAAGAGAGCAGAGGCCAGAAUGUGGGGAAAUUGCCACAUGUCCAGUGAAAUCUCUGUAACAUUUUUAUUAACUGUAUUCAACUAAAACCAAAUGACACAAACCAUCUGGUUUGUUUAAUAAAUUGAGCAUCAUAAACAGCUAAGACCGACCCCCAAACAUCAAGGUAAAUGAAAGGCCGUCAUUGUUCAGAAGCAAAGGUGUAAUCAAACUCUAAUUUUCUAUUCCAAUAGACAUCUUUGAAUUAGUUUCUAUCCCACUAAUUAUGAAGAGUUUUUUUUAUUAGUGUUCUACUUGAUUAGUAAAGCACAAAACACAGAUUACCUAUAAUAUUACUCUCAAUCCCCCUGGGGAGUACCCGGGUGGUUUCUGCACGUGUUUAAAUGCUAAACAAGAAAAGCCAGGAGAAUGAGAAGAUGCGGAGGGGGAGGGGAACACCAGCCAGUUUUUAAGAAUUUUAAAGAGAGCAAGGAGAGAUCUAUGGGAGGCUUUGGUGAGUGGAAAGAACAGGGAGGAGGGAAUGGUGUGUUAAAAUCUCAAACACAAAAGAAAGAAAUAAAAAACAUUAAAUCUGAAAGACAAAAAUGAAGCCACCUAGCACAGUGCCUGGAUCCCUUUGUGCUGUCUAGAUAAAAUAUUUAUAGUUGUGCCUUGGGCCUCAGGAGAGAACCCCUUAACUAUUAAGAGAUAUUUUGAAAAUUAUAUUCUAAAAGACUGGAAUCCCUAGAACAGAUAAAUUCAUAGACAAAGACAUAGGUAAGUCGCCAAAAUGAAAUCUAGAGAAUAGAAACAACUUAAUGGAUCCAUAACAAGCAACGUGGUUGAAGCAAUGCGAACAGCAGCCUCCUCAGAGAGAGCCUCAGAAGACAGGGUUUUACUGAACUCUACUAAACCUUCAAAGAACUAAUGCAUGGUGCUCAAGUUGCUCCAUAAAAAUAAAAAGAGAAAGAAUGCUAACAAAUCCCCUCAAAGAAACCAGCAUCACCCUGGUAGCAAAAUGGGAUAAGGAUCCCGCCAGACAAAUGCACAAAACUCAAGAGACCAAUUUCCCUGAGCAUACACACAAAAAUUCUCAGUAAAAUACUUGCAUAUUGAAUUCAACAGCUCAUGAAGAUGAUCACAUACUAUCAGCAAGUUGACUUUUUCCAAGAAUACAGGAUGGUCCAACAGUUACAAGUCAAUAAUUUUAAUACUGUACAUAAACUUAACAAUAGAAAUUACAGGGUCUUUUUAAUGGAUGCAGAAGUGUUCUUUGACAACAUUGAACAUCCUGUCAUGAUAAAAAGCUUCCAAGAAACUAAGAAUAAAAGAUAUAUUAUCUAUCUAUCUAUAUCUAUUAUCUAUCAAUGUAUUAUCUAUCAUCUAUUUAUCAAUUAUCUAUCAUCUAUUAUCUAUCAUCAUCUAUCAUCUAUCUAUCCACCUAUUAUCUAUUUAUCAUCUACAUAUCUGCCUAUCUAUCUAUCAUCUAUUUAUCUAUCUAUCAUCUAUAUCUAUCAUCUAUCAUAUAUUAUCUAAUUUUCAACUUGACAGAAUCUAGAAUGAUCUGAGAGAUGGGUCUCUGCCUGUGGAGUUAGCUUUAUUGUAUUAACAAAAUGGGCAUACCUGUUCACUGUGGGUGGUACCAUUCCCCUAGAUUGGGUUCUCCACUGCAUAAAACAGGGAAAGGGCCACUGGAUAGCAGCAUGAGUUCAUCACUUUCUUCCUUCUGCUUGUGUAUACAAUGUAAAUAAGCACUUGAAGUACCAGCUACCCUGACUUCUCUGCUAUGAUGGACCUUGAACCUUGAGUCAAAAGAAACCCUUUUUCCUGGAGUUGCUGUUCUCAGAACUCAACUCAGUAAUGCUUGCUGCUCCUCCAGAGGAUCAGAGCUCAGUUCUCAGCACCCCAGUAAAGUGGUUCACAGGGGAUCCAAUGCCCUUUUGGCCCUUUUGGCCUUUGAGAGUUCCAGCAAGCAAGCAAGCACGCAUGCACACACGCACGCACGCACGCGCACACACACACACACGAUCUUAAAAAAGAAAAUGUUCUGCAGAGUUAUGGCAGCAAAAGGAACAUGGUGUGGACACAAAAGCAGACAUGUAGACCACUGGAAAGGAUAGGGGAACCAGAGAUAAACUUACCAUCUAUAGACAACUUUUGACAAAGCUGUCACAUAUAUACUGAAACCCAGUCUCUUUAAAAACUGCCACCAGUUUCCACUGGGGAGAAACCAGACCCAUGGCUUCUACCCUGCAGGAAAUCGAUUCAAACAGACCAAUGACCUUGAUACAAGCCUUAAACUUUUGAAACUUCCAGGAGAAACCAGUUUAAGAUACAAGCACAGGCAAAGACUUUUUUUUUUUAAAUAAGAUUCCGGUGACACAGGAAAGAAUACCAAAUAUCUUUAAAAAUCAGAUUGUGUGAAUCUAAAAGUUUUCUGUACAGCGAAGGAAAGAAACUGUUAGCAAAGAGAAGGGACAGCCCACAGAAAGGGAGACCUUUGCCAACCAUACAACUGACAGGGGAUUAAUAGCUAGAACCUAUAAUGGCCUAAAAAAAAAAAA